GUGCGUGUGUGUAAAGAAGGAGAUUAGGACAUUUAGAGAAGGAGGGCGGGGAGGAGAGAUCCUGAGAAUAGAAAGGAGGAAAGAAAAAAAGAGGAAUGGAAAGAGACAGAGAAAGGAAAUGGGAGUGGAAGGAGGGAGGACUGCUUUGUAACUGCUAAGAUUGCAGACAGAAAUAGCACACAACCACUGUGAGCUGUAUGCGAUUCAGAAACCAAGACCAAAUUUUGCUCACUUUCAUUAAUCAGUUGCUCAGAUAGAAGGAAAUGACAUCUGGUUCUGUCUUCUUCUACAUCUUAAUUUUUGGAAAAUAUUUUUCUCAUGGGGGUGGACAGGAUGUCAAGUGCUCCCUUGGCUAUUUCCCCUGUGGGAACAUCACAAAGUGCUUGCCUCAGCUCCUGCACUGUAACGGUGUGGACGACUGCGGGAAUCAGGCCGAUGAGGACAACUGUGGUGAGUGAAGCCCCUGCAGUCACGGAGACAACAAUGGAUGGUCUCUGCAAUUUGACAAAUAUUUUGCCAGUUACUACAAAAUGACUUCCCAAUAUCCUUUUGAGGCAGAAACACCUGAAUGUUUGGUCGGUUCUGUGCCAGUGCAAUGUCUUUGCCAAGGUCUGGAGCUUGACUGUGAUGAAACCAAUUUACGAGCUGUUCCAUCGGUUUCUUCAAAUGUGACUGCAAUGUCACUUCAGUGGAACUUAAUAAGAAAGCUUCCUCCUGAUUGCUUCAAGAAUUAUCAUGAUCUUCAGAAGCUGUACCUGCAAAACAAUAAGAUUACAUCCAUCUCCAUCUAUGCUUUCAGAGGACUGAAUAGCCUUACUAAACUGUAUCUCAGUCAUAACAGAAUAACCUUCCUGAAGCCGGGUGUUUUUGAAGAUCUUCACAGACUAGAAUGGCUGAUAAUUGAAGAUAAUCACCUCAGUCGAAUUUCCCCACCAACAUUUUAUGGACUAAAUUCUCUUAUUCUCUUAGUCCUGAUGAAUAACGUCCUCACCCGUUUACCUGAUAAACCUCUCUGUCAACACAUGCCAAGACUACAUUGGCUGGACCUUGAAGGCAACCAUAUCCAUAAUUUAAGAAAUUUGACUUUUAUUUCCUGCAGUAAUUUAACUGUUUUAGUGAUGAGGAAAAACAAAAUUAAUCACUUAAAUGAAAAUACUUUUGCACCUCUCCAGAAACUGGAUGAAUUGGAUUUAGGAAGUAAUAAGAUUGAAAAUCUUCCACCGCUUAUAUUCAAGGACCUGAAGGAGCUGUCACAAUUGAAUCUUUCCUAUAAUCCAAUCCAGAAAAUUCAAGCAAACCAAUUUGAUUAUCUUGUCAAACUCAAGUCUCUCAGCCUAGAAGGGAUUGAAAUUUCAAAUAUCCAACAAAGGAUGUUUAGACCUCUUAUGAAUCUCUCUCACAUAUAUUUUAAGAAAUUCCAGUACUGUGGGUAUGCACCACAUGUUCGCAGCUGUAAACCAAACACUGAUGGAAUUUCAUCUCUAGAGAAUCUCUUGGCAAGCAUUAUUCAGAGAGUAUUUGUCUGGGUUGUAUCUGCAGUUACCUGCUUUGGAAACAUUUUUGUCAUUUGCAUGCGACCUUAUAUCAGGUCUGAGAACAAGCUGUAUGCCAUGUCAAUCAUUUCUCUCUGCUGUGCCGACUGCUUAAUGGGAAUAUAUUUAUUCGUGAUCGGAGGCUUUGACCUAAAGUUUCGUGGAGAAUACAAUAAGCAUGCGCAGCUGUGGAUGGAGAGUACUCAUUGUCAGCUUGUAGGAUCUUUGGCCAUUCUGUCCACAGAAGUAUCAGUUUUACUGUUAACAUUUCUGACAUUGGAAAAAUACAUCUGCAUUGUCUAUCCUUUUAGAUGUGUGAGACCUGGAAAAUGCAGAACAAUUACAGUUCUGAUUCUCAUUUGGAUUACUGGUUUUAUAGUGGCUUUCAUUCCAUUGAGCAAUAAGGAAUUUUUCAAAAACUACUAUGGCACCAAUGGAGUAUGCUUCCCUCUUCAUUCAGAAGAUACAGAAAGUAUUGGAGCCCAGAUUUAUUCAGUGGCAAUUUUUCUUGGUAUUAAUUUGGCCGCAUUUAUCAUCAUAGUUUUUUCCUAUGGAAGCAUGUUUUAUAGUGUUCAUCAAAGUGCCAUAACAGCAACUGAAAUACGGAAUCAAGUUAAAAAAGAGAUGAUCCUUGCCAAACGUUUUUUCUUUAUAGUAUUUACUGAUGCAUUAUGCUGGAUACCCAUUUUUGUAGUGAAAUUUCUUUCACUGCUUCAGGUAGAAAUACCAGGUACCAUAACCUCUUGGGUAGUGAUUUUUAUUCUGCCCAUUAACAGUGCUUUGAACCCAAUUCUCUAUACUCUGACCACAAGACCAUUUAAAGAAAUGAUUCAUCGGUUUUGGUAUAACUACAGACAAAGAAAAUCUAUGGACAGCAAAGGUCAGAAAACAUAUGCUCCAUCAUUCAUCUGGGUGGAAAUGUGGCCACUGCAGGAGAUGCCACCUGAGUUAAUGAAGCCGGACCUUUUCACAUACCCCUGUGAAAUGUCACUGAUUUCUCAAUCAACGAGACUCAAUUCCUAUUCAUGACUGACUCUGAAAUUCAUUUCUUCGCAGAGAAUACUGUGGGGGUGCUUCAUGAGGGAUUUACUGGUAUGAAAUGAAUACCACAAAAUUAAUUUAUAAUAAUAGCUAAGAUAAAUAUUUUACAAGGACAUGAGGAAAAAUAAAAAUGACUAAUGCUCUUACAAAGGGAAGUAAUUAUAUCAAUAAUGUAUAUAUAUUAGUAGACAUUUUGCAUAAGAAAUUAAGAGAAAUCUACUUCAGUAACAUUCAUUCAUUUUUCUAACAUGCAUUUAUUGAGUACCCACUACUAUGUGCAUAGCAUUGCAAUAUAGUCCUGGAAGUAGACAGUGCAGAACCUUUCAAUCUGUAGAUGGUGUUUAAUGACAAAAGACUAUACAAAGUCCAUCUGCAGUUCCUAGUUUAAAGUAGAGCUUUACCUGUCAUGUGCAUCAGCAAGAAUCAUAGGCACUUUUAAAUAAAGGUUUAAAGUUUUGGAAUACUCAGUGUAUUUGCAUCAUAGAAAAUGUCUGACUGUUUGCAAAAUAAUAUUCUGUUUUAAGAAUCCAUCUUACCUCUCUUUAAGUUUCCAUACACUUGAGAGCCAACACAACAUAUUUAUUACUAAAAAGAUGCUUUGCUAGAAACUCAAAAACAGCACUUCUUUUGGCACUUCCUGCCCAGUUUUCUCUUUGCUUUAAAUGAACAUCAUCAUAUGGAAUUGGAAUAGGAGAGUAUGAGUACGGCAGAGAAGUGGAUCAGAAAAACUAGAAUGAGGAUAAACAUUUACAUUAGUGGAAACUCCUGAAAUAAAUCCUUGUAUUGUCAGUUAACUGAUUUUCAACAAGGAUGCCAAGACAAAAAGGCUUUUCAACAAACCGUGCUGUUUUAAGAACAGACCUAAGUGGUUUAAUUCACCCACUUUAGAUGGGUGAAUGUUAUGGUGUGUGAAAUAUCUCAGUAAAGCAGUUAAAAGGAAAAAGAGCUGGAAUGCACUGAUUCAGGAACUUAAUUUCAGGAAGGAAAGGUCUGUAUGUACACAUUUCACUUUAAGCAGAAAAUCUUUCUUCAAGAAAUGACUUUACUUUCUCUUUGCACUGCCAGCACGUGAGAUACUAACUUUUUAACUAGUUGUUCUUCUCUAGUCUCUACGUUAUUAGAAUUUUUUGCUUUCAUAAUGUGAAACCUUUAAGCAGGAGAAGAAAAUGUUUUCAGAUAGUUUCAAAUACACCAAAAAUGUUUGAAACACAAAAAUACUGGAAUCAAACCAUAAUGCACUUAUUGAAUAUAUAGUUGUAUAGAUUUGUUCUGAAAAUAAAUUAUCUGAAAUUUAACUAUUAA
rnacentral:lncRNA from 1 species